rnacentral:lncRNA from 10 species
CCACACCUGGCCAGUCUUUUAAAAAUUUAAAAUUUUAAAAUUGACAUUCUAAUACUUGUCCUCAGAGUAGCUGUGCAGAUUCAAUGAGGACAUGGAGGUGAAGUGGCCAGCACAGUGCCCAGCUCCCCAUAAGUACCCACAGUGACUAUUGCUAUUAUUCCUUCAGUGGCUGGGACUGGGGUUUUGCUCAGGUAUGUGCUCUUCCUAAUUAAUGAUGUUCCCCCCAGUCAUCAGCCAGGCACAUGGCUUCCCAGAAUAAAGAUCACAUUUCCCAGGCACCCUUGAGGCAGUGUCGCCUUAUGAUAAGUACAGACUGAUGGGUUGUGUAUUAGACGGGAUAUUGGUUUGGCUACUAAAACCAGAGACACCCAAAAUAGUAGCAGCCUAAGUAAAGGAGAAAUGUAUUUGUUUCUAAUGUAGCAUAAGAGCGUAUGGCCCUUGUAUCUUGUUGGUCUCUCAUUCUCAAUAUAAGACCUUCAUCUCAUGUAGGAUGGCUGCUGCCACUCCUGCCAUCAUACCCACAUCCCAGACAGGGGGAAGUGGAAAGGAAGAUCAUACUUCUUCCCUCUUAGGUCACAAGUAGUAGCUGUAAAUAUCAUAUCUAUUCACACUCUACCGGCUAGAACUUAGUCACAUGACCACAUCUAGCUGUACAGGAGGCUGUAAAAUGCAGUCAUCAGUUGAGCCGCUCUAUGACCAGUUAAUGCUAUUAUCAAAUGCUAUGACUAUGUAAGGAAGUGAGAAUGGGCACAGCAUUUACCACAGGAUGUAGUCAGCAGUUGUGUGUACAACCACUGGGGAUUGUCCUUAAAGGGAGGGGCAUCCAUCCCAUUUCAGCCCUUCUUUCUUCCUGUUGUUGGAAUGUAAAUGUGAUUCUCUGAAGUUCUUUGUCUGCCUAAAGUCUGGACCUCCCAAAGAAGGAAACAAUUACCUCCAGUCCCUUCCUGAGUUUUCAUUAACUGAACCCAUUUCUCAAGAAGGAAGACCAAAGUCUGUCAACAAAUCUGGAUAGGCUUUUGUCAGAAGCCCUUGUCUGCUCUUCGGGCCCUUGUCCUAGACCCUUGUAUGUUCUUCAAGACCAUUGAACUCUCCCUAGCAACCACUUAUUCCCCCUUACCAGAAUUCCUCUUCUCCCCACUACCAUAAACAUGUUUUGCCAGGAUCCAAGCCUCCAUUCUCUCUGUAAACUCAAGAUGGUACACAAGCUUCUGUACCCCAUUGGGAGACUGGGUCUUCAUUCUGAAGGCUCCUGGGUAUAUAUGCCACAAGGACAUUUCUGGACUGACCUGCUAGAGGAAGAUAGAAAGACAUAGUGCCACUGGACAUUUCAUUUUGGCCUACAGUAACCAACACCCACAGAAUGGAACUGCCCAUGGGUACCCUUAGUGGGAAACAGGGAUAAAAAUGAAACUACUGCUUUCUCAACACCUACCGUGUGCCCGGAAAUGUUAACUCAUUUCAGUGAGAUGGUGAUGUUGGGGCCAGCAUUCAAGCCAGCCUCCAGCCUGACUUGGAAGCUCUGGGUGUUCACACCACCUGGCAGUGCCUCCAAAGACAGCCUUUAACCCUGCUUCCUCGUCUGGCCACACUCCUCACCCACUCCAGCGCCGAGUCUGACCCCAAAACAUCUCUGCGAGGGCAGACCUCCAUGUUACAAAGUCCGGGAGACACUUUCCAACCUCACCUUACUUGCCCCUCUCAGCAGCUUGGCAUCUGUGUGGCUGCGGGUCUCCUGGGUUUCCUCCUGCCUACCUGGCCACACCUUUUCAGGUAUAGCACGAUAAUCUGUCUGUAUUUUUUCCCUCUUUCCUUAUUUCGUUUUUUCUUUGCUGUCUUCCUUUCUGUCUCCUUCUUUCCCGUCUUGGUUUUUUCCUUCCUUCCUGAAAUGGAGGACAACUGUCCCUCUUUGUCCGGCAAAGAGUCACUUCUGGAGAGCAUUUAGAUACUCAAAUGUUGGGCAACGAAGCAUCCAUUGUUCAGCGCUUAGGGGAAGAGGCGGAUCAAUUUGCAUAAAUCCUUUGAGAUAUUCAGGGAGAGGAACGUGCAGUACCAAUUUAUAAUAGUGACCUGUGGCCUUGAGAUUUGUGGACAUAUUUGGGUUAUAUAGCUCUAGUUCUCCCUGGUGCUGAAACUCAGGACUUAGCCCUUCAGGGCUGAGUAAAUCUCUAAGAAUCUUGAUAGUUACAGAUAAGGGAGUUGCAGAGGAAGACACUAAAGACCCUAUAAUAUGGCCGGUGGAGGCUGGAGCCCUUAACUGGAAUUUCCAUUGCCAGCUCAUCUCUUCUGUAAACCUUGAUUUUCCUCAAGGCUCAGCCUUAGGCCAUCUUCUUUUCUCAUUCUCUGUUUGCUCCCUAAGUCAUGAAGUACCCUGCCAAGAUUUCAACGACUAACUACAGUUCGGUGUCUCUCAAAUUGUUAUCUCUGAAUCAGAUUUCUCCUUUGAGUUCCUAGAGCUAAGCAGUCAGCAUCAUCCCCUUCUGCAUCAUCUCGUGGUUCAAGAUGGCUGCUUGAGCUCCAGCCAUCUGGUCUGCAUUCAGUCAGAAAGGAAGAAGGAAAAAGGGGAGAAGAACACACGCCACACUCCACACCAUUUUAAGGAGAUUUCUUUAUUAAACAGCCAGUGGAACAGUUUCUUACAUUUCAUUGGUUAGAACUUGGUAGCACAGUCACAUCUCCCUUCAAUGGAAACUGGGAAAUGUAAUCUCUUAGCAGGUGACAAAGUGCCCAUCUAAAUAGUGAGAUUAUGUUAUGAAAAGGUAAAAGAUUGAAUAGUGGGAGAAAUCAGGAGUUUCUACCACAAUGCCCCAGGUCAUAAACAUGAUCUUACCUCCAAAACAGGCCCAGACAGGGAAAUCUAUAGAGGGUAAAAGUAGAUUAGUAGUUGCUUAGGGCUGGCGGUGGGGAAAGAGGGGUGGAAUAGGAAGUGAUAACAAGGCCGGGCACGGUGGCUCAUGCCUG